rnacentral:tRNA from 1 species
GCCCCUGUAGUCUAAUGGAUAGAAUGGGGGUUUCCUAAACCCUAGAUCCAGGUUCGACUCCUGGCAGGGGCA